rnacentral:misc_RNA from 1 species
UGUGGCCGGCGGAUGGCGAAAGGACGGAAGUUGGGAAUUAACAGGAACGAACGGUUUCUCGGGAGCUAUAGCAAUGGACACGCUCAAGGCUCCUAUAAUGGAGAUGACUCAUCGGAGCUCCGUGAAGAAGAAGUAUGGUCAAUAAUCGACAGCAAAAACUCAGCCGACGGUGAAGAUGAGAAUUACGGGAACAUUACAGUCAGAACUCGCCGGAGAUCGACCCCGCGCGAUGAGCGAUACGUCGGUGGAGUGUCAAUUGCUUUUCAAGAUUCUGGAAGGACGGCUACGGCGGUGGCAACGUCGCAGAGGAAUAAUCCACGUGGACGCCACGUGUCGGCAUCGGCUCCGAUGAACGUGCCGGAUUGGAGCAAGAUUCUACGGGCAGAGUCGGUGGAGUCGCUGCCGGAGAUCGACGACGGAGGUUACUACAACAACGAUGAGGCGGAGAUGGUGCCGCCGCACGAGUAUUUAGCGAGGGAAUACGCGAGGAGCCGGAACGCGGCGGCGGCGGCGACGUCGGUUUUCGAGGGCGUCGGCCGGACUCUAAAAGGGCGAGAUAUGAGGAGGGUUCGUGAUGCGGUUUGGAG